GAGGCACGAGAGAAGGCCUCUAGCUGUGAAGCAGUGAAAGAGCCCAGAGUGAGUCUGAAGAGAAUGAGAGUGCGUGAGAAGAAAGGAGAGUUCAUGUGAGGGAGAGUGAGAUGAAGACCGUGAAGUGAGAGGGCAGGAACUUUUUAUUAUUUUGGAGUGAACCCCGGCCCCAGACAGGGAUUCGCUGUCCUGUCAGUUUGUUUGGAAUACCAUCUGGUCUCCCUGAGUCUUACUUCACUGACGACGCGAGGAUCGUUACAAUACUUUAAACCCACCCCAACUACUGGAUGGCUGCGCAUUCCUACAUUUCCAUUGGUGACUCCGCUUGCAAGAUUUAAAACGAGAUUACAAGGAGGCUUGUUCGCGGGAUUUAAAGCUGUAUUACAGUUAAAAUACAGAGGAUUUAAAACAGAAAGUUCAAAUUGUGGCGAAAUGUAAAAAAACUAAAAAAAUGCCUGGACACAAAACCCCAGAAGAAUGUGCCGUGACCAGAAGGAUUUCAUUGUGGAAGACAGCAAAGGAAAGAAGUGCUGACUGUAGUGAGCUGCUCCAGACAGUAUGAAGAACGACCCCAGGCUGUCCUGACCCGGGAGCCUGCAUGGAAACAGAUAUACGAAUCAGAGAGUGUCAGGUUCAGGGGGGUUACACUGACUGGAGAUUCACAUGGUACAAAGCUGGGAGGAAUGCUCCAGUAACCCAGGAUUACUACAGCAGUAUAGAUGGUGACAGAUUCACAAUUAGCUCUGCUACUGGAGACCACAGUGGGGAAUAUACCUGUAAAGGUGAAAGGAGAGGUAACCCAUCGUACUCUAAAACAAGCGAUGCUCUUACACUGAUAGUAUCAGCUCUGUUCUGCAGGGUGACUCUGACAGCAUCUCCAGGAGCCACAGUGAAGGAGGGAGAGGCUCUUAACCUGACCUGUGAGGAAGCAGUGAACAACCCCCCCCCCGCCCUGAACUCCACUACACCAUUGUGAGAGACGGGGAGCCUGUGACUAACAGCACUGACUCUGCACUGUACAGCAUAGCCAGCACUGAGAAGAGCCACACUGGGAGCUACACGUGUGCUGUGGAGUCACCGGGAGUGAAGAAGAGCAGCCAGGAACUACACAUUGAAGUGCAAACGUCCUGGCACAGCGCUGUUGCUAUUGGCUACAGAGUGAGCUUCUCUCUGAUUCAUUUCAUUGUGUUCACUCUGCUGCUCCUUCAAUACUGCAGGAUCCAAGGUUCCCCGUGUCUCGCUGGUGGUAAGUCAAGGAAAACCUCGGAUCAGGAUCAGGAGCAGUCAGCAGAGGGGAUUGAGCUCUCCAGCCAUGUGCAGCACACUGGAGUGGAACUGGAAUAGUGCUGCAUUACCAGAGACUGGAGUGGAACUGGAAUAGUGCUGCAUUACCAUAGACUGGAGUGGAACUUCGUGUACCAGCAGAGAAAUAAGUGGCCCAAGCGAUUUAAUCCCUUAAAUGCAGUGCUUUGCAAGUUUGAGAAUUGCAUUUCACACUUAGACUGAAUAUGAAGUGAAUAAGAAGCCAACUUCAGCCACAUCAAAUAAUAAAUAAUGAAGUUUUUAGAUCUUAUCAGUAAAAAAGAAAAUUAAAGGUGUGUAAAAUAUUACAACUUUUGUGCUGCAGAAUUUGGUCCCCCAUUAAAUAAUAGAUAAAAAAGUAUACACAUUAAGCAAGUGUCUAGUUCUGAUUCCUUUGAUACACAGCUAAUUAACUCACCCCAAUAUUAAAGUUUCACCCCCACUAGUAUGCUUGAUUUCUGCACAUUAACCAUGAUUUACUCAUUAUAUAUGCUAAUUUAGAUAUUGUUAGAUUGAGAAGCUAUCUUGUGUAUUGCUUACAAAAAGCUUUCUGGUAGACUAAAUGUAUUAUGCCAUAUGCUUAAAUGUGGUAUCCUCUAAACAUUUGUAAUCUAAUACUGGAAUGCAAUUGUAUUUAGAAACUAUGGCAGGGGAUACAAAUUUUUCAGCUUCUCUGCACUGUGAAAAGCAAAACAUGAUUUAAUCUCAGCAUUACUUUAGUUCUUUCUGCUUUACAUUUUGUAUGUUUCCCAAAUGAAAUUUGGCAUCGCCUGUCAGUUUAAUUUUACCUUUGAGAAGAUGGGAUGACAAAUAUUACAGUAUACCAGCCAUAAUAUGUGGCAUCCCCCUUUGAGAACACAGGGGAUGCCAA